rnacentral:lncRNA from 1 species
AAAUUUGGUAUUAGAGAAAUUAUUGGAGAGAACAUCAGAAAGGAUAGGAAGGAAUUAAGACACAAAAAGAAAUAGUUUACAAAGAGAUUUUCUUGUGGUUAAUCGCUUUUACAGUCGAAAGACUCUCGAAAAAACUCUCUACUUCUAAAUUUUCGCAAAGCUCUUGGUUUGGGUUUUGUCUGGAGGGCUCAAAUCGAAACUCGUGUGGAGGAAGUCGCUGCCUCCUCUGCUC